rnacentral:tRNA from 1 species
GCUCCAAUGGCGCAAUGGUAGCGCGCAAGACUUCUAAGCACUAAUUAAAUAGUCAUCGUAAUCUUGAGGUUGAGGGUUCGAGCCCCUCUUGGAGUG